UGUGGCUGGGGGUGAAAGGCCAAUCAAACCGGGAGAUAGCUGGUUCUCCCCGAAAGCUAUUUAGGUAGCGCCUCGUGAACUCAUCUUCGGGGGUAGAGCACUGUUUCGGCUAGGGGGUCAUCCCGACUUACCAACCCGAUGCAAACUGCGAAUACCGAAGAAUGUUAUCACGGGAGACACACGGCGGGUGCUAACGUCCGUCGUGAAGAGGGAAACAACCCAGACCGCCAGCUAAGGUCCCAAAGUCAUGGUUAAGUGGGAAACGAUGUGGGAAGGCCCAGACAGCCAGGAUGUUGGCUUAGAAGCAGCCAUCAUUUAAAGAAAGCGUAAUAGCUCACUGGUCGAGUCGGCCUGCGCGGAAGAUGUAACGGGGCUAAACCAUGCACCGAAGCUGCGGCAGCGACGCUUAUGCGUUGUUGGGUAGGGGAGCGUUCUGUAAGCCGUCGAAGGUGUGCUGUGAGGCAUGCUGGAGGUAUCAGAAGUGCGAAUGCUGACAUAAGUAACGAUAAAGCGGGUGAAAAGCCCGCUCGCCGGAAGACCAAGGGUUCCUGUCCAACGUUAAUCGGGGCAGGGUGAGUCGACCCCUAAGGCGAGGCCGAAAGGCGUAGUCGAUGGGAAACAGGUUAAUAUUCCUGUACUUGGUGUUACUGCGAAGGGGGGACGGAGAAGGCUAUGUUAGCCGGGCGACGGUUGUCCCGGUUUAAGCAUGUAGGCGGAGGUUCCAGGUAAAUCCGGUACCUUUUAACGCUGAGGUGUGAUGACGAGGCACUACGGUGCUGAAGUAACAAAUGCCCUGCUUCCAGGAAAAGCCUCUAAGCAUCAGGUAACACGAAAUCGUACCCCAAACCGACACAGGUGGUCAGGUAGAGAAUACCAAGGCGCUUGAGAGAACUCGGGUGAAGGAACUAGGCAAAAUGGUGCCGUAACUUCGGGAGAAGGCACGCUGACAUGUAGGUGAAGCCCCUGCGGGUGGAGCUGAAGUCAGUCGAAGAUACCAGCUGGCUGCAACUGUUUAUUAAAAACACAGCACUGUGCAAACACGAAAGUGGACGUAUACGGUGUGACGCCUGCCCGGUGCCGGAAGGUUAAUUGAUGGGGUUAUCCUCAGGGAGAAGCUCUUGAUCGAAGCCCCGGUAAACGGCGGCCGUAACUAUAACGGUCCUAAGGUAGCGAAAUUCCUUGUCGGGUAAGUUCCGACCUGCACGAAUGGCGUAAUGAUGGCCAGGCUGUCUCCACCCGAGACUCAGUGAAAUUGAACUCGCUGUGAAGAUGCAGUGUACCCGCGGCAAGACGGAAAGACCCCGUGAACCUUUACUAUAGCUUGACACUGAACAUUGAGCCUUGAUGUGUAGGAUAGGUGGGAGGCUUUGAAGCGUGGACGCCAGUCUGCGUGGAGCCAACCUUGAAAUACCACCCUUUAAUGUUUGAUGUUCUAACCUGGCGCCGUGAUCCGGCGUGGGGACAGUGUCUGGUGGGUAGUUUGACUGGGGCGGUCUCCUCCUAAAGAGUAACGGAGGAGCACGAAGGUUGGCUAAUCCUGGUCGGACAUCAGGAGGUUAGUGCAAUGGCAUAAGCCAGCUUGACUGCGAGCGUGACGGCGCGAGCAGGUGCGAAAGCAGGUCAUAGUGAUCCGGUGGUUCUGAAUGGAAGGGCCAUCGCUCAACGGAUAAAA
rnacentral:rRNA from 1 species